rnacentral:rRNA from 1 species
UACGAAGGGGGCUAGCGUUGCUCGGAAUCACUGGGCGUAAAGGGUGCGUAGGCGGGUUUUUAGUGAGAGGUGAAAUCCCGGAGCUCAACUCCGGAACUGCCUUUCAUACUGGCAAUCUAGAGUCCGGAAGAGGUGAGUGGAACUCCUAGUGUAGAGGUGGAAUUCGUAGAUAUUAGGAAGAACACCAGUGGCGAAGGCGGCUCACUGGUCCGGUACUGACGCUGAGGUGCGAAAGCGUGGGGAGCAAACAGGG